GACGAACGCUGGCGGCGUGCUUAACACAUGCAAGUCGAACGGAAAGGCCCAGCUUGCUGGGUACUCGAGUGGCGAACGGGUGAGUAACACGUGGGUGAUCUGCCCCUGACUUUGGGAUAGGCCUGGGAAACUGGGUCUAAUACCGGAUAUGACCUUACAUCGCAUGGUGUUUGGUGGAAAGCUUUUGCGGUUGGGGAUGGGCCCGCGGCCUAUCAGCUUGUUGGUGGGGUAAUGGCCUACCAAGGCGACGACGGGUAGCCGACCUGAGAGGGUGAUCGGCCACACUGGGACUGAGACACGGCCCAGACUCCUACGGGAGGCAGCAGUGGGGAAUAUUGCACAAUGGGCGCAAGCCUGAUGCAGCGACGCCGCGUGAGGGAUGACGGCCUUCGGGUUGUAAACCUCUUUCACCAGGGACGAAGCGUGAGUGACGGUACCUGGAGAAGAAGCACCGGCCAACUACGUG
rnacentral:rRNA from 1 species